UCAAUAGUAGGUACAAUUCCCGCGAAUCUCACCUUUUUAUGUUCGUAAUAUUGACCAAUAAAUUACCUCCUGAACACUCAAAGCAAUUUACGUAAUUAUACGUGGUGAUGACUGCGGAAAUACGCUGUUGCCUCGACGCGUGCGAAACGACAAAACACAUAAAUGCAAUCGAAAUCCAAAUCACUUGAUCAUUUUAGUCUUGGUGUUACAUAAAUCAUGAGAAUAAAACUUCGUGCAAGUGAUUACACUUUCGUUUUGCUGCGUCGAGUCAACAAAAAGCCAAACGUGCUUCAAAAAAUGAUUUUAGUAACGACUAGCGUCGGUAAAGGAUCGGUAAAGAGGAUGCGGUUCUGCUUUUCUUUGCUAGUAAAAGAGAUAUGUCAAUGCUGUUUAAUUUUCAUGCAGGAUUUAUUCAAACUUUAAAAAUAAAACACACACGGUGCCUUUGCCAAUCAGUAUAUCCAAGGUCAUAAAGCCAAAGUGCCAGUUUCAAGGUGAAGUCGUAUUUAGUGCCAAGAAUAAGCCAAAAUAAGUUUACAAAACACAGGCGACGAGACUUCUUGUAUCGGAUAAUCGGUGAACUGUAAGUCCUCUCGAAUUGUGGUGGCAUUCGAGAAACAAGUUCAAGGAUAAAUGCCAAACAAGAAUUUAUCGCCAAGGCCAUAUUGUAA